rnacentral:rRNA from 1 species
GCUCAUGAUGAACGCUAGCUACAGGCUUAACACAUGCAAGUCGAGGGGCAGCAUUUCAGUUUGCUUGCAAACUGGAGAUGGCGACCGGCGCACGGGUGAGUAACACGUAUCCAACCUGCCGAUAACUCGGGGAUAGCCUUUCGAAAGAAAGAUUAAUACCCGAUGGCAUAAUUAGACCGCAUGGUCUUAUUAUUAAAGAAUUUCGGUUAUCGAUGGGGAUGCGUUCCAUUAGGCAGUUGGUGAGGUAACGGCUCACCAAACCUUCGAUGGAUAGGGGUUCUGAGAGGAAGGUCCCCCACAUUGGAACUGAGACACGGUCCAAACUCCUACGGGAGGCAGCAGUGAGGAAUAUUGGUCAAUGGGCGCAGGCCUGAACCAGCCAAGUAGCGUGAAGGAUGACUGCCCUAUGGGUUGUAAACUUCUUUUAUAUGGGAAUAAAGUUUUCCACGUGUGGAAUUUUGUAUGUACCAUAUGAAUAAGGAUCGGCUAACUCCGUGCCAGCAGCCGCGGUAAUACGGAGGAUCCGAGCGUUAUCCGGAUUUAUUGGGUUUAAAGGGGGCGUAGGUGGACAGUUAAGUCAGUUGUGAAAGUUUGCGGCUCAACCGUAAAAUUGCACCUGAUACUGGCUGUCUUGAGUACAGUAGAGGUGGGCGGAAUUCGUGGUGUAGCGGUGAAAUGCUUAGAUAUCACGAAGAACUCCGAUUGCGAAGGCAGCUCACUGGACUGCAACUGACACUGAUGCUCGAAAGUGUGGGUAUCAAACAGGAUUAGAUACCCUGGUAGUCCACACAGUAAACGAUGAAUACUCGCUGUUUGCGAUAUACAGUAAGCGGCCAAGCGAAAGCAUUAAGUAUUCCACCUGGGGAGUACGCCGGCAACGGUGAAACUCAAAGGAAUUGACGGGGGCCCGCACAAGCGGAGGAACAUGUGGUUUAAUUCGAUGAUACGCGAGGAACCUUACCCGGGCUUAAAUUGCAUUUGAAUAUAUUGGAAACAGUAUAGCCGUAAGGCAAAUGUGAAGGUGCUGCAUGGUUGUCGUCAGCUCGUGCCGUGAGGUGUCGGCUUAAGUGCCAUAACGAGCGCAACCCUUAUCUUUAGUUACUAACAGGUCAUGCUGAGGACUCUAGAGAGACUGCCGUCGUAAGAUGUGAGGAAGGUGGGGAUGACGUCAAAUCAGCACGGCCCUUACGUCCGGGGCUACACACGUGUUACAAUGGGGGGUACAGAAGGCAGCUACCUGGUGACAGGAUGCUAAUCCCAAAAGCCUCUCUCAGUUCGGAUCGAAGUCUGCAACCCGACUUCGUGAAGCUGGAUUCGCUAGUAAUCGCGCAUCAGCCAUGGCGCGGUGAAUACGUUCCCGGGCCUUGUACACACCGCCCGUCAAGCCAUGAAAGCCGGGGGUACCUGAAGUACGUAACCGCAAGGAGCGUCCUAGGGUAAAACUGGUA